AUUGACCGCUGGCGGCAGGCUUAACACAUGCAAGUCGAGUGAGCGGCGGACGGGUGAGUAAUGUCUGGGCAACUGCCUGAUGGAGGGGGAUAACUACUGGAAACGGUAGCUACUACCGCAUACCCUCCGGUAUUCCCACAUGGGAUUAGCUAGUAGGUGGGGUAAUGGCUCACCUAGGCGACGAUCCCGAGCUGGUCUGAGAGGAUGACCAGCCACACUGGAACUGAGACACGGUCCAGACUCCUACGGGAGGCAGCAGUGGGGAAUAUUGCACAAUGGGCGCAAGCCUGAUGCAGCCAUGCCGCGUGUGUGAAGAAGGCCUUCGGGUUGUAAAGCACUUUCAGCGAGGAGGCGUUACUCGCAGAAGAAGCACCGGCUAACUCCGUGCCAGCAGCCGCGGUAAUAC
rnacentral:rRNA from 1 species